rnacentral:rRNA from 1 species
CCUACGGGAGGCAGCAGUUUCGAAUCGUUCACAAUGGGGGCAACCCUGAUGGCGCGACGCCGCGUGGGGGAUGAAGGUCUUCGGAUUGUAAACUCCUGUCAUUGGGGACUAACGGCCAGGCUCAUACCCUGGUUUGAAUUAACCCAAAGAGGAAGCAGUGGCUAACUCUGUGCCAGCAGCCGCGGUAAUACAGAGACUGCAAGCGUUACUCGGAUUCACUGGGCGUAAAGGGAGCGCAGGCGGAUUGGUGUGUCAGGCGUGAAAUCCCGGGGCUCAACCCCGGGGCUGCGCCCGAAACUACUAAUCUAGAGACUUGGAGGGGUAAGCGGAAUUCUUGGUGGAGCAGUGAAAUGCGUAGAUAUCAAGAGGAACACCAACGGCGAAGGCAGCUUACUGGACAAGAUCUGACGCUCAGGCUCGAAAGCGUGGGGAGCAAAAGGGAUUAGAUACCCCUGUAGUCCACGCUGUAAACGGUGCGCAUUAGGUCUUGGAGCUUUCGAACGCUCCAGGGCUCAAGCUAACGCACUAAAUGCGCCGCCUGAGGACUACGGCCGCAAGGCUAAAACNCAAAGGAUUGACGG